AGCACUGCGUGGUAUCUGCAGCCAGUGGCGCCAUCUGCUGGUUUGUUCAUAAGCCAGUGCAAGAGAAAUUCAGCAUUUGGCAUCGUUGGUCUAUGCAGUGUGCGUAGAGUCCUGGUAAACUUGUUGAGACAGCU
rnacentral:snoRNA from 1 species